UACGUAGGCAGCGAGCGUUGUUCGGAGUUACUGGGCGUAAAGAGUGCGUAGGCGGUUUUCUAAGUUUGGUGUGAAAUCUCCCGGCUCAACUGGGAGGGUGCGCCGAAGACUGGAAGGCUUGAGUAUGGGAGAGGUAAGCGGAAUUCCUGGUGUAGCGGUGAAAUGCGCAGAUAUCAGGAGGAACACCGGUGGCGAAGGCGGAUCUCUGGGCCGUAACUGACGCUGAGGAGCGAAAGCAUGGGGAGCGAACAGG
rnacentral:rRNA from 1 species